UGUGGCUUAGUGGUAGAGUGCUUGCCUUGCAUGCAGGAAGCCCUGGGUUCAAUUCCUCAGUA
rnacentral:tRNA from 1 species